CAAUAGCGUAUAUUAAAGUUGUUGCAGUUAAAAAGCUCGUAGUUGAAUUUCGGGUCCCCGCGCUCGGCGCUUCAUUGUGCCGUCGUGGUGUCCCUCCUCGCCGUAAGGCGUCCUUUACUGUGAAAAAAUUAGAGUGUUCAAAGCAGGCAAUCGCUUGAAUACAUUAGCAUGGGAUAAUAAGAUAGGAUCUUGUCUAUUUUGUUGGUUGCGGACAACGAUAAUGAUUAAUAGGGAUAGUUGGGGGUGUCCGUAUUGAGCUGUCAGAGGUGAAAUUCUUGGAUUUGCUCAAGACGAACUACUGCGAAAGCAUUCACCAAGGAUGUUUUCAUUAA
rnacentral:rRNA from 1 species